CAUAAGCGCGACGCGGGGCCGGAGGGAGGGGUGUCCCCGUCCCCCCCUCUCUCUGCCUGUGCUUUGUAGCCGGGUAAGUCCUGAGGAGCAACCGGUCACUGUAGAGGUGACCUGUCAGCAGCAGGGUGGGACCCUCCGCCGUUUGAUCCGCAGGGUGUCCCGUACCGCCUGCGGCUCCUCAGCGCCGAGGAGGAGAGUUCCUGGGAGCGACCAGGCAUCUUCCGUGCGAGUCUUCUAGGGACAGUGCGGCCUGCCGGGGCCGCUGAGGUGUCCGCGGCGGGAGCUGGGUAUCACACAGACAGAAAUGUCCGGGCUUGAUGCUUUAAAAGAGCCAGUUUCUCAAGCUGUUAGUCAAAUCAGUUGGAAGAAGGAACUGCAAAGGAAAAUCUGAAUUACAAUUGGAAAUUUACCUAUCUUUUUAAAAAAAUUGAAGAACCACUGAUAAAGCCUUAGAGAUAGGCUUGUUUUGGGAUACUGCUCAAACUUAAAGAGAGCAGGUCACUAACACAGAACAAGUCUUGACGGCUUAUUAGGUGGGUACAACAAUCUGACUUAAUACAUGCAAAUAUUAAAUAUGACACCUUGCUCUAGAGAUUCUUGGGCAUACAUCGCUGGUUUUCUGUAUUACAGUUGUAUUUUGUGAAGCCUUUGUAAUACUGUGUGUCUUUUUUAUGUUGAUAACAGGAAAAAAGCUGAAAAAUUUGAGGGUAGUUGAGGGAUGGCAUUUACUAAUGGUUAAAAGACUAGAAAACUUGCCUCAUGGUGGAAGACACAAAGAUCUGUCAACCUUGUAAGAGAGAAGGAUCCUUCUUAGCCUACUCUUCCUGAACACUAGACUUUCAAUCUAAGAAAGAAUAUGACACUGAUUCCUAAAAUGAGCAGAAUCAUACGGAGAAGGGGCAGCUCUUUCACUGGAUACAUCUACGUUGAACUUUGAGUUCACAUUUUGUAUCUGCACUGUUUACUUAGGAAAACACCUAGAAAAUAGAGUAAGAAAGCCCUAGCUUUUACUGGCCUCUCAUAUGGUGUAUCCACCCAUAGUGCUGAGAAUGCAUUUAGCUUGGUUUUUACCAGGCUGAGUCCUAUCUACCUCUAAUGCAAUUUAUAUGAAGUGAAAUUUUUUCCUAAUUAAUCCAUUACCAUUUUAGUUUCAUUUCUAUGACUUCAAGAUUCACAUUUUAAAGAGUAUUAUUUUUUUUUUUCUGAUAGGGGAUGAAAAUAUGGGUGCAGUUUUUACAGCUUAAUAGUAGAGGGUUUUUUUAUAUAGGAGGUGAAAGAGAUGUAUUCUUCUCUACCUCUUUAGUAGCCAGUGUUCUACAGUAUCCACUCUGCUUUAGUAAUUUAUGAUAGAAGCAGCUCCUGCAGAUAUAAAAAAUGUUUUCCUGCUUUCUCUGGCACCUGGAUGCAUCUCUUGUGGAAAGCAUCCAGUCAGGCAUCUCCCUCUUCCACAAAGAGGCUCACAAAUGAGAGCAUUUCUCACGAGGCUAACAAAUGAGAGCAGGUUUUUGGUCUGAGGGGGUUUAGGGUCUGUUUCCAAGAGAUGUGUGAAAGAUAGCUAAGAGAGCAUGUAUGUUGUUAGUGGGCUUCAGAUUGGUUUAUCAGGACCCGCAGUUCUGCUGAGAAGAAGCAGGGGCAAAACAGAGAGGGUUGAGGACUUCUGGUCUACUUGUUUCUGCAAUAGGCGUUCUUUUUAUAUGGCCAUGUCCUACUUUUCUACCUUUGAUACAACCCACUCCAUCCGGGCUGAGUGGAUUCUUUAAAUUAGCAAGUGUGGCCACCUACUGGGGAAAAAAAAAAAA